rnacentral:rRNA from 1 species
GACGAACGCUGGCGGCGUGCUUAACACAUGCAAGUCGAGCGGUAAGGCCCUUUCGGGGGUACACGAGCGGCGAACGGGUGAGUAACACGUGGGUGACCUGCCCUCAGCUCUGGGAUAAGCCUGGGAAACUGGGUCUAAUACUGGAUAUGACUCCACGGUGCAUGUCGUGGGGUGGAAAGCCUUGUGCGGCUGAGGAUGGGCCCGCGGCCUAUCAGCUUGUUGGUGGGGGAUGGCCUACCAAGGCGACGACGGGUAGCCGGCCUGAGAGGGCGACCGGCCACACUGGGACUGAGACACGGCCCAGACUCCUACGGGAGGCAGCAGUGGGGAAUUGUUCGCAAUGGGCGCAAGCCUGACGACGC